UAAACUGUAGUCUAUUUAAGACAUUUACCUUCCAAGUAAAAAAUAUCUGAAGAUUAGUUUAA
rnacentral:tRNA from 1 species